rnacentral:lncRNA from 1 species
GGAGCACACACAUUGUCUUUUUCACUUCUGAGAUGUCUGCCAUGGCAGAGAGACUGGGAAGGACGAUUACCACAAUGCAACAAGACCUUUCUGGAAGACAGAACGAAUGGAUUUUUCACGUGGCGCCACAAUGUAGGUUUUCAAGCAGCUGAAGGCCUGAGGUUUUUCUCCCGUGCACUCUAGGAGACCCAGCCAAGGGGCAGCACUUAGGGGGAGAAUUUUUGCCUAUAGCACCAGCAGGCUCCGGUGAUUUGUUUAACGAGCAAAUCUGGCUUUUAUCAACGUAAAUAGCAGCUCUGUUCCUAGGCUAAUAA